AUUGAACGCUAGCGGGAUGCUUUACACAUGCAAGUCGAACGAGUGGCGGACGGGUGAGUAAUAUAUCGGAACGUGCCCAGUAGCGGGGGAUAACUACUCGAAAGAGUGGCUAAUAACGCAUACUAUUGGAGAGGCCGAUAUCGGAUUAGCUAGUUGGUGGGGUAAAGGCUCACAAAGGCAACGAUCCGUAGCGGGUUUGUGAGGACGACCAGCAAAAUUGGGAGUGAGACACGGCCCAGAGUCCUAGGGGAGGCAGCGGUGGGGAAUUGUGGACAAUGGGGGAAACCCUGAUCCAGCCAGCCCGCGGGUAUGAGAAGGCCUGCGGGUUGUAAAGUACUUUUGGCAGAGAAGCGGUAUCUGCAGAAUAAGCACCGGCUAACUACGUGCCAGCCGCCGCGGUAAUAC
rnacentral:rRNA from 1 species